AGAGUUUGAUCCUGGCUCAGGAUGAACGCUGGCGGCGUGCCUAAUACAUGCAAGUCGAGCGAACGGACGAGAAGCUUGCUUCUCUGAUGUUAGCGGCGGACGGGUGAGUAACACGUGGAUAACCUACCUAUAAGACUGGGAUAACUUCGGGAAACCGGAGCUAAUACCGGAUAAUAUUUUGAACCGCAUGGUUCAAAAGUGAAAGACGGUCUUGCUGUCACUUAUAGAUGGAUCCGCGCUGCAUUAGCUAGUUGGUAAGGUAACGGCUUACCAAGGCAACGAUGCAUAGCCGACCUGAGAGGGUGAUCGGCCACACUGGAACUGAGACACGGUCCAGACUCCUACGGGAGGCAGCAGUAGGGAAUCUUCCGCAAUGGGCGAAAGCCUGACGGAGCAACGCCGCGUGAGUGAUGAAGGUCUUCGGAUCGUAAAACUCUGUUAUUAGGGAAGAACAUAUGUGUAAGUAACUGUGCACAUCUUGACGGUACCUAAUCAGAAAGCCACGGCUAACUACGUGCCAGCAGCCGCGGUAAUACGUAGGUGGCAAGCGUUAUCCGGAAUUAUUGGGCGUAAAGCGCGCGUAGGCGGUUUUUUAAGUCUGAUGUGAAAGCCCACGGCUCAACCGUGGAGGGUCAUUGGAAACUGGAAAACUUGAGUGCAGAAGAGGAAAGUGGAAUUCCAUGUGUAGCGGUGAAAUGCGCAGAGAUAUGGAGGAACACCAGUGGCGAAGGCGACUUUCUGGUCUGUAACUGACGCUGAUGUGCGAAAGCGUGGGGAUCAAACAGGAUUAGAUACCCUGGUAGUCCACGCCGUAAACGAUGAGUGCUAAGUGUUAGGGGGGUUUCCGCCCCUUAGUGCUGCAGCUAACGCAUUAAGCACUCCGCCUGGGGAGUACGACCGCAAGGUUGAAACUCAAAGGAAUUGACGGGGACCCGCACAAGCGGUGGAGCAUGUGGUUUAAUUCGAAGCAACGCGAAGAACCUUACCAAAUCUUGACAUCCUUUGACAACUCUAGAGAUAGAGCCUUCCCCUUCGGGGGACAAAGUGACAGGUGGUGCAUGGUUGUCGUCAGCUCGUGUCGUGAGAUGUUGGGUUAAGUCCCGCAACGAGCGCAACCCUUAAGCUUAGUUGCCAUCAUUAAGUUGGGCACUCUAAGUUGACUGCCGGUGACAAACCGGAGGAAGGUGGGGAUGACGUCAAAUCAUCAUGCCCCUUAUGAUUUGGGCUACACACGUGCUACAAUGGACAAUACAAAGGGCAGCGAAACCGCGAGGUCAAGCAAAUCCCAUAAAGUUGUUCUCAGUUCGGAUUGUAGUCUGCAACUCGACUACAUGAAGCUGGAAUCGCUAGUAAUCGUAGAUCAGCAUGCUACGGUGAAUACGUUCCCGGGUCUUGUACACACCGCCCGUCACACCACGAGAGUUUGUAACACCCGAAGCCGGUGGAGUAACCUUUUAGGAGCUAGCCGUCGAAGGUGGGACAAAUGAUUGGGGUGAAGUCGUAACAAGGUAGCCGUAUCGGAAGGUGCGGCUGGAUCACCU
rnacentral:rRNA from 2 species